ACAGCAGUAGCCGCGGGAACACGGAGGAUCCAAGCGUUAUCCGGAAUCAUUGGGUUUAAAGGGUCCGUAGGCGGUCUUGUAAGUCAGUGGUGAAAGCCCAUCGCUCAACGGUGGAACGGCCAUUGAUACUGCAGGACUUGAAUUAUUGGGAAGUAACUAGAAUAUGUAGUGUAGCGGUGAAAUGCUUAGAGAUUACAUGGAAUACCAAUUGCGAAGGCAGGUUACUACCAAUUGAUUGACGCUGAUGGACGAAAGCGUGGGUAGCGAACAGGAUUAGAUACCCCAGUAGUCCCUGUCUCUUAUAC
rnacentral:rRNA from 1 species